rnacentral:rRNA from 1 species
UGGGGAAUAUUGCACAAUGGAGGGAACUCUGAUGCAGCAACGCCGCGUGCGGGAUGACGGCCUUCGGGUUGUAAACCGCUUUCAGCCAUGACGAAGCUUUUGUGACGGUAGUGGUAGAAGAAGCACCGGCUAACUACGUGCCAGCAGCCGCGGUGAUACGUAGGGUGCGAGCGUUGUCCGGAAUUAUUGGGCGUAAAGAGCUUGUAGGCGGUUUGUCGCGUCGAUAGUGUAAACACGCAGCUUAACUGUGUGCCUGCUGUCGAUACGGGCUGACUAGAGGAGGGUAGGGGAGAAUGGAAUUCCCGGUGGAGCGGUGGAAUGCGCAGAUAUCGGGAGGAACACCAGUGGCGAAGGCGGUUCUCUGGACCUUUCCUGACGCUGAGGAACGAAAGCGUGGGUAGCAAACAGG